CGGUAUUUAAUAAAUUAUAUUAUUUUAAAGAGAUUUUAUAAAUUGAAGUUCAUUACUAUUAUUUUAUUGAUCAAAUGCCUUGAGCCGUUAUUAAGGUAUAUGAAAAAUAUUUUCACAAGUAUUUAUUUAUUUUUCCAUUCUAUUUAGUUAUUUAUCUAUUUAUUGGGCCUCAAGCCCAAUAAUAUAUAUUUGUGAGUUAUUAAAUUUUCUUGGGCCUCCAACCCAAAAUUAUGUGAGAUCAAUAGUGGCCCAAACCCAAAAUUUGGAUGUCAGUGUGAGAGGCUGAGUGACGAGCAGCGAGAAUUGAUACAUUUUUCUUUUUCCCCAAGAAUUCUACAGUGUCGAUUAUUAUUUUUUUUUCAAAAGCUUUGGCUUAUUUUCAGCCACACCACCUUAUUGUUUAGUUAAGAUUCGCCACACCCACAAACAUUCCCCAUCCACGCACUUUCUAAUCUCACCCAUUCAAUUUUUCUUUCGUUCAAUUACUUUUCAACCUGCAGAAAUGAGCUUCACUUUUUAUCGGAUGAAAUCAACAACAGCAUCUGUCAAUAUUUCAUUUCCUUAUAACUUCAAAGUUUCAGACACACAAAAUACCAAAAAUCAAAUCUUUACUUCUAAAAUUUCUCAUCUUUUACAUCUGAAUUCCUUUCCUUUUGUUCCUCCGGUGAGUGAGAGUCGAGGAUUCGAUGAGAGGGAAGAGUGGGGCUGUCCGAGCUUGACGCGGGCUGUCAAGGCCGCGGCUGCCGGCGCUGCAUGCGUGGCAGCAGCCCGCCGGCCACUCGCGGCGAAGGCAGACAGACUCGGAGCAAGGCGGCGAAGUCCCGGGCGGCUGAACGAGGUGGCGCGGCCGGAGGCCAGGCGCCACUAACGCGGCCGAGAACGGAGCAGCAGCAGCAGCAGCAGUGAUGGCGGCGCUCCUUCCUUGGCCGUCUGCUGUCGGGUACGCAAGAAAGAGAGAUAGGGGCAGAUGGGAGGUGGUGAGCGAGAUGGUAUGGUGAGAGAGGGAAGGCGUUGGGUGAGGGAGGCGUCGGAGCCGGCGAUUCUCGCCGGGGUUGGAGCAGGCGGUGGAUCUGUGGAGGGAGAAGAGGCGUGAGAUGGAAAGAGAGAGAGAAAGAGGGUGAUGGCAGAGGCGGACUCCGGUGGUGGUUUCCCCGGGUAGCGGCGGCGGCGGCGGAAAUUCUGGGAGGAAGGGAGAGAGACGAUUCUUGUAGGUUCGGGUGACUAAGGGCAGUGAAGCUUCAAGCGAGCCAAGUAUCGAAUCUCCACUUUGAGGUGGGCUUUAUUUUACAAAUGUAUCUUGAGUUAUAUGAGCUCUGAUAUUUCAUGAAAGUUAAUUGUUUAUCCAAUAUAAAUGUUUUUAUGUGCGUUCUGUAUUGUUUAAUGCUCGCAUAAGCAUCGAUCGAGAUUCUCAUUUGACCUAACACGUUAGAUGAGGAUUGUGUACACAAGGUUAGUUGCUCAAUGGGUUGAUCGCCAUUUGGGCACUAACGAAGCUAAGCAGGCGUUAUAAGGGUGCUCCUGGACACGUUCCAAGCACAGAUGAUGAUGUGUUCCGUCUGGGUAGCGUCCCGGGUUCACUUAAGCGGCGGUAAGCGAUCCGACGGUGGUUAAGUCCCGGGAUCAUAAGCAGCGAGUAACAAUCAAAUGUCACAUGGCGCGCCACUUAAUGAGAAAAAUGUUUUGUCAUGCUUAGAAGUAGAUUUCUAUUUUUAAAACCUUCUAAGUUAUGAUUAUGAUAUUGGAUAAACUGCUCUAUUUAAUUAUUUCAUAAAAUAUCUUGCAAACUCCUGUUCACUGAGUACACUAGUACUCAGCCCAAAUUAUUUUCAAAAAUUUUCAGGUUGAUUGGUUGGUGCGGACGGAGCUGAGGCUAGGGUUCCACGCUGUCUUUUGCUUCCGCUAAACGAUUAGCUUGCUAUCUUGUCUUUCAAUCUCCUAAACUAAGAACUUCUAUUAUAUGGUAAAAUAUUAUCUCGUUGAGCUUAGACCCUUAAUUCGUAUUUCAAUUAAUGAAGCCAUCAUUGAUU